GGGAAUCUGAGUUCAGGAGGCCAGGGAACGCCAGAAGGAAAGGGAUUUUUUGAUGCUUGGGGCUCUGAGACUGUCAGUUUAAAAAAUGAAAGUAAUAUAGAAGGGGCAAAGUGGCAUUUAUCAUCCCAUCUCUCCAGGCUCCUGUCUCUUUAAUCAGCUAGCCUGAUUUGCCCAGUAAAUGAUUCCUGAGUGAGAGUGUGUGUGUGUGUGUGUGUGUGUGUGUGUGUGUGUGUGUGUGCCAGCGCCCGUGUGUUGUAGCUCUGUCAAUCCUUGGAUUAGAACCAAUGAUUGCAGCUUGUAGGAGGGCUGUCCGGGGCCAGAUUGUACGAUGUGUCUCAGUGCCAGAGUAUGAGUAGAGAUAAUUACUGAGAAGUCACACUCUCUCACACCCUCGGCUUUCUUGUUGUGUCCUUCAGCAAAACAGUGGAUUUAAAUCUCCUUCCAACAGCUUGAGAGCAACGCAAUCUGUCAGGAAAGAAAGAAAGAAAAAACCGAACCUGACAAAAAAGAAGAAAAAGAAGAAGAAAAAAAAUCAUGAAAACCAUCCAGGCAAAAAUGCACAAUUCUAUCUCUUGGGCAAUCUUCACGGGGCUGGCUGCUCUGUUUCUCUUUCAAGACGCUGUUUACGCGGUGCUCAGCUUUCGAGGCAAUUUCCCCCGUCUCCCACUUCAGGCCAGCGUUUCCUCCCUCCCAAGCCUGUUGAUGAGCGCCCUGCUGAGCCCGAGUGCCCUGCUGAGCCCGAGCUCCGGAGGCUGGCGCGGGGGACCCGGCGGGGACGGUGGGAGGGACGGCCGCAGCUCCCGCGUGGCUGGCCCUUGCUCCUUGAUUUCAAGUGUCGGGGAAAAGCAGUCCUUGGAGACCCAACAGCAUGUGGAAACCUCCUGAGAACUGGAAGUGACAAACACAGCGCAGAGCCCAGAAACGAAGAACGAUUUGUCAAGAGGGACGAUUUGUCAAGAGGGACGCCAUCUCUAGUCAAUGUCUGCAGAAACCAGCGGGAAGGGGAGGGGAGCCGCCUCACACGCUCAUGACUAAACCCCCUUCUUCUGGCCGCCGUCUCCCACCUGACGGGUGUAAUUCACGGGCUGUACAUUAGCCGAGCCCCUACUACAGAUUGUUCCUUCCUAACGUGAGUCUUACUCGUUUUUCUUCUCUCUUGCUGCCUGCUUCCUCCUCUUUUUUUCUCUCUCCUCCUCACUGCCUCCUCCCCUACUCCCGACUUGGCAAAGGUCCUACAGACUCAAACACUGUGACACCCCAAACAGGCACACAAAUUAGGGAUGUCUUUUGAGGGAAUCCUGGGAACCAGCUGUGCCCUCUGAGGGGCCAAGAUGUCCUUCUGCCAGCUAGGAACGGCAUUCUGUUGGAGACUCUGGCAGAAUUUCAUUUAUCAAUGUCCAGCCGGAGCUAUGAGAGGGGUCAAGGGUAGCAAAAAGUCAUGCUUAAAAAGUUGGCCAAAUAUUUUGCCUGCUUUUCCUAAAAAUCUCCAGCCAUGGAACAUGUCAGACCAGAUUGAUACCCUUCUUGGACAAGGCCUCCAAUUGUCACUUUUACCCAGAGUUUCUAUAACCUUGACUCAGGGACAAGUAGCAUUGAAAUCUAGGGGGAAAUGACACAGAUUCGCAAGCAUACACUGCUCCCAGUCUAGCCAUUUCCCAAUAUCCCCCAAUGGCAGAUAAAUCCCAAGAAUGGAUGACCCCAGAAUGACUUCUAUUUGGCUUUGGUGUGUGGUAGGCAGUUAAUGCGCAGUACCAGCGCAUUCUUAAUUGGCCUUCGCUUGGCUGAUAAAUGACUUUGUAUUCCUUGAACAGAUCCCAGCUGGAUGUGAGGUCAAGCUAUUCAGGGGUGACCUGCAAACAGAUGACCCCACAAAUGGGUGGCCCAUUGGAUCCUCACCUCUCUGGGAUUCCUGCUCUCAUACACACUACCUACUGCAACUGCAGCCCAUUUCUUCUUUGCAUUCCAGACUAACUCUGAGUCAGACUAAAAUCUGUGUAAGGGACGCCUGGGUGUCUCAGAUGGUUAAACGCCUGCCUUCGGCUCAGGUCAUGAUCCCAGGGUCCUGGGAUCGAGCCCCACAUCGGGCUCCUGACUCAGCAGGGAGCCUGCUUCUCCCUUUCCCUCUGCCUCUCCCCCUUCUCCUGCUUGUUCUCUCUCUCUCUUUCUGUAUCUCUGUGUCUCAAAUGAAUAAAUAAAAUCUUUGAAAAAUAAAAACAGAAUAAAAUCUGCGUAAAAUCCAGCAGGCCAUGUGCUAGGAAUAAUAGACUCACAGGAGCAGGAAACUGACAGAGGCAACUGCCCACCAGGAGGGAGUCAUGCCUAUGAUUUCUUCUGUGUUGCUAGCUUACUACCUCUUGUUCUAUACA
rnacentral:lncRNA from 1 species